GGCGGCGGCGAGAGGGGCUCCCAGAGUGUGUGAGGAGCCGGGGAGGGAGGCGAGGUCCCCUGGAGCCGAGCCCGGGCUACGGCAGCGGCGAGAAGGGCUCCCAGAGUCAGGGCCGCCGGGGGGGGAGGAGCAAGUGGGGCAAUUUUCCCCGGGCCCCGCAGGGGCCCCCACGAGUGUUUUGGAGGCUCCCCCACCUCGGUCGUCCCCCAUCCCCCGGUGUCUCAGCUGGUAAGGGGGCGGGGCUGCGAGCUGCAGCCGAACGGCGGGAACUCAGGCCCCGCUGGAGACUCUACGCCGCUGCAGCGGUGUCCGGGAGAGGCGCCAAUCCUGUGGUUUUGUGGGGACUGAGACAUGAUUUUUGAAGGCUUGAGGUUGGCAGACCUGCAGUUUUGAAGUUGUGAGUGCAACAGUGAGAAGCAGAAAGUGAAACCUGACCUGCCUAGUUUCAUUGUCCAAACUGAGGACGCAUCAAAGACAGGAGGAAUAUAUGGCUGAUGUAUCCUACUUUUUCUGUGAUGUUUAGGCGCGAAAUGGGAAGUGAAUAUGAAUGGAAGCAAGAGAAUUGAUGGGCC